rnacentral:rRNA from 1 species
AUUGAACGCUGGCGGCAGGCUUAACACAUGCAAGUCGAGCGGAGAGAGGUAGCUUGCUACUGAUCUUAGCGGCGGACGGGUGAGUAAUGCUUAGGAAUCUGCCUAUUAGUGGGGGACAACAUUUCGAAAGGAAUGCUAAUACCGCAUACGUCCUACGGGAGAAAGCAGGGGAUCUUCGGACCUUGCGCUAAUAGAUGAGCCUAAGUCGGAUUAGCUAGUUGGUGGGGUAAAGGCCUACCAAGGCGACGAUCUGUAGCGGGUCUGAGAGGAUGAUCCGCCAAAGUGGGACGGAGACACGGCCCAGACUCCUACGGGGGGAAGCAGUGGGGAAUAUUGGACAAUGGGCGCAAGCCUGAUCCAGCCAUGCCGCGUGUGUGAAGAAGGCCUUAUGGUUGUAAAGCACUUUAAGCGAGGAGGAGGCUACUUUAGAUAAUACCUAGAGAUAGUGGACGUUACUCGCAGAAUAAGCACCGGCUAACUCUGUGCCAGCCGCCGCCGUAAUAC